ensembl:lncRNA
CACCGCGCCCGGCACCGCGAGACGCGACGCCUAUAGGACGCCACCAUAGGCACGGCCGUAGCGCCGUACGCACGCGCACUAGAGCCGGCGGACCGCGCCCUCUCUCGGGGGCUGUGGGGAACGGAGCCGCAGGGUGGCGCUACACCCCUUCCCUCCCUCGCGUGCCGGUAGCGGACGUUACGUACGUUAUGGGGGCGGUACUGUGCUGUGCGCGCGGAGGUGUCGCAGUGUGGGACUGUGUCAGUCCCUUUUCAGUUCUGGCUGCUUAGUCUCCGCUUUCCUGUCCAAGUUAAAAAGCUCACCUCGUAGCCUCUAGACAUGGGCGGCUGCCGUGUUAGGAAGAAAAAGUAGUCCUAUUUCCCCUGACCAAAGCUUGGUAACUGGUAUUUAUUAUUUUGAAUAAGAACAGCAAUGGUGUGUUUCUGCACGUUGUUUCUCUAGCUCUCUCGCCUCACCUGUCUGGAAAAAAACUGUGUGUCAGUGUCCAUUUGUGUCAUGCAUUGUGACUUGGCACGCUGUUGUGGAUUUGGUUAGCCCACGCAUUUCGAGAGUGACUGAGGACAUUUUCCUCUUCUGCCUGGCAGUCUCCUUCCAAACGACGUGGUGCUCAUGCUGAUAGUUCUUAUCUCCCGCUGAUGUCCUUCCAAAGCCUGGCUGCAAGUCACCGCUGUGUCUGUAAUCAGGGGACAGCUGUUUGUAUACAGACGCAGAUGCUUUUGCUGUUGCCUGUGUUAUAUGCCAUACGGUUUAGAUCAUGCUUCCAGUUGAGAAUACCGACCCAGCUAUUGAUGGACUGGCCCACUGCUGAAGGAAGUUCUGAACUCAAGACAGUUGUUACUCCAGCAGCUGAACUGAGCAACGCAAUUUAGGCUUUGGUCCCUCAAGAGAAAUUGUUACCAGCCAGCUGGCAGAAGAAGUCCUCAUAAAUAUUCAUCAGAAAUCUUGAUGCUGUGAUUCUCUCAUUUGCUUUAAUUUCUGUAAAUCUCUAGAAUGUGGCUUUUUGGUUUUCCAGCUGAAUUUUGCCAUUGGUAUUUAUGCUAUGUUAUGUUAUGUAUGAACUUUUAUUUGCUAACUCCCUGCUGAUUUUUAAUGUUAGUUUUCACUAAAUCUGAAAAUACCCAUUUUUCUUGGUAAAGAAUGUUUUUUCUUUGUGAAAACUUCUUUUCACCUGAACUGUGUGAAUAAGUUGAACAUUUAUGUUCACGUGGUUUACUAAUGUAUUCAGUUGUUCAUGCAUUGCCCUUCUGUCUGCCUUUAGGUAAAUAUGUUUCCCGUAAACGCUAUGAGAGGAUCUUAAAGUUUUGGAAUGGUAUUGCACAGGAUCUUGUAAUUAUUUUCUUAUUAUCUAGGUCACUUUAAGUAAAUGCUACAAUAUUUGUGUAGAAAUGAGGUUGUUUGUCUCAGUUCUGGUUCUUCCCCCUGUGCAGACAAAUGAAACAUAAAAUAGCUGGCCUAUUUGCUAACUCUCUGAUAGUUUUUGCUUGACUUCAAGAAAUAGAUUUUCACUGUAUUGUAGUGCUGACUUUUUCUUAAUAUAACUUGGCAGUAGAGUAAGUAAGCUAGUGGUGUAACAUACAUGAUGAUCAACCUGUGCAAGUUCCAAAACACCCACUGACUCUUGGCACAAGGGACUCAAAACUCUCCAACGAUUAAUUUCUAAACGUAAAUAUGAAAAAUGUUUGACUUGCAUGCUACUUCAGUGAACAAAAUAAGAUUGAAUUUUAAAUUUCCUUUAUCAUUUUGGAGACUUUCAUAUUGACUGCUCAGUUGUACUCUGUUGUGUGAGGACCUCCAACAAAUUAAGACAAAAUAGGUCUACCAUUCUUUGUAAUCUACUUCAGAAUACAUUAGUUUACCUGCUCAUUCUGUUAUGUUUAGGAUUUAUCUAAACUAAAAUAAGAUGCUUGUAGUCUAAACCAAGUAGCCAUUGCACAAGUUUUGUUUUCUGCUACUUAAAUAAUUUUGAUUUUACAUAAUCGAUAGCACCUCAUAAGGUAAAGUUAUAUCCCCCUAAUUUCCUAGUUUAUAAACUAACUUAUAUAGGCCAAAUUAUCAGCUUUGCACAACAGCUGUUUCAAGGAAGUAUUAGUACUCAUGCACUUGUACCUACUGUAUGCUGUUAGCCUCCUUCUUCCAGCCUACAAAUAAGAACUCUCCUGGAAUCCCAAGUGGUCCAAAACCCAUAUAAAAUAAAUGGUUGCUGAGCAUGUAACA